GACGAACGCUGGCGGCGUGCUUAACACAUGCAAGUCGAACGGAAAGGCCCUGCUUUUGUGGGGUGCUCGAGUGGCGAACGGGUGAGUAACACGUGAGUAACCUGCCCUUGACUUUGGGAUAACUUCAGGAAACUGGGGCUAAUACCGGAUAGGAGCUCCUGCUGAAUGGUGGGGGUUGGAAAGUUUCGGCGGUUGGGGAUGGACUCGCGGCUUAUCAGCUUGUUGGUGGGGUAGUGGCUUACCAAGGCUUUGACGGGUAGCCGGCCUGAGAGGGUGACCGGCCACAUUGGGACUGAGAUACGGCCCAGACUCCUACGGGAGGCAGCAGUGGGGAAUAUUGCACAAUGGGCGGAAGCCUGAUGCAGCAACGCCGCGUGCGGGAUGACGGCCUUCGGGUUGUAAACCGCUUUCGCCUGUGACGAAGCGUGAGUGACGGUAAUGGGUAAAGAAGCACCGGCUAAAUACGUG
rnacentral:rRNA from 1 species